rnacentral:lncRNA from 1 species
UAUCUUUCACAUGGGCAGGUGGAGGAGAGAAAAAAAAUGGCCCAGGGCCGGGGCCGUUGGAGGGAAGGGGAAAGGGGAGGUGAAGGGGAUGUGCAUUAAUAAAGGUCUAAUUAAACGUUUUUAUUUUUCUCCUCUAGAAUCAAGCAGGAAACGAGGUGAAAAUGGUAGGAAGUUUAAUGUAUGCAUGCCCUGGUGCUGCACACACAGCAACCAACACAGGGACUGGGAGAAGGGAGAGAAAGUGAAGAGCAGGCUGGAGGGGAGCGCGGGCUGCCCGCGCCCCCCGGACCGGCCAGCCGGCCACCCCGGCGCGUUUAUUUCGGACACACUCAGCUGUCGGCCGAUCCUCCCCGCCCAGCCGAGGGCGGCCAAGAAGAGCAAAGAGCCGCCGCCGCUCCCCAUCCCCAGCCGAGGACAGAGGAGCCAGCGGGCGGGCGAGGGAGCCCACAAGGGGGAUGGAGAUGGCAGCGUGACCAGCCAUGUUACCCGCAGCCUCAGUCUCACGCUGAGAAUAGCCGCACACACAUCCAUGAGCCCCGGGAGGACCCAUCCGACCGCACUUCCGACUCACCCCAGCCUGGGUCUUGGGCCGCCGACUCCCGCGUCCGUUUCAGAGGUGCAGUCGGAGCCCGUGCCAGAGGCGGGCUUGCCGCUGCUCCGAGAGCCGCCCGGGCCGGGGACACUUGGCCCGGUCCGUGCCCGUUCAGCCGUGGCACUUCAGCACCAAUUCACCCGUAGCCCCAGCGGCACCCCUACUCCUCCCUCCUUUUCUUCCCGUCACCUCAACAAUCCCUCAGGUUCUUCCGCUCAGGAGAUUUAAAAAAAAAAACCCAACAGCAUUCUAAACUGUGGAGAUGGAAGAGAAGCAAACAAAAACAACCCACACCAUUUGGGCGGUGACGGUUCCGUAGGAAUAUCCCCUGCACGCUUGUGGCCCACGAAAGGCGAGCGGAAAGGCUCGGGGACCGCCGACCCUGCUCCUCGAGGCAAGUUUUGGGAGCCGCUGCGGCUGUGCCCGCUUCCGGCUGGCCUCGCUUUGCCCCAACACACAAAGCUGAGGAGGGAGGGAGGAAGGGAGCCGCUCCGGCCGCCGCCGCCUACUCGUAACCUCCGCCUCCCGGUCCCCUCCGGGCCAGCCCUCUCGCUAGUUCGGGGCUCUGCUGCAAUGUCUGCGAGGCUGACUUUCAAAGCCUCGGCAGCGGCGGCGCUCCUCCCUCCUCCACCUCUUCGGUGCAGCCCGGUCCCUCCCCUCGCUCUCCACGCCAUUCAUCUGUUCAGCCAAGUUUCUUAACCCCUUUUUUACCUCCUUCCCUUUGUCAGGGGGUGGGUGGGGGGAAGGGGCAUCGGGAGAAAAGCCUGGCGUGGGUCUUGGCUGCUUCUCGCAUGGACGGAACCAGGGCUUCAGCAGCACAAGCAAAGGAGUUAAAAGGCAUCGGAAAUUUUAGCUUAAGCAGACUGUACGCGGAAACCAAAUUUUAGGACGUUUUCCCUCCAACUCCCCCACCCACAAGGGAAAAAAAUCCUCGUCCCCAUCUACCAGCUCAAUUCAGCCAAUGGCCCUCCUUGACCUUUUCUCUAGAGGCAACUCCUUUCUACCUUGGAGAAGAGUCAUGCUUUCCUUUUCCAAAGGCCAAAAGGACACAUUUGAAAGAGAUCCCCUUCUCCACCGCAGGCAGGGCCUCCGAGUCCAAAUCUCGGUACUACUUGCUAUCUACCUUGAGGUGCACCAGUGUUUGAGUGGAAACACUUCUGUGGUUUCCAUUCCUUUUACUACUGCUAGCUUGCAGGAGGCUUCCUCACCCACAGCCCCUGCAGUCACUCUUUCUACCCCCUCAAGGUUUGCUCGCCAGCAACUUGAAUGAUCCCGUGACCAUUUUAAUCCCAUGCUAAAAGGAAAACUGCACCAAGUCAGAGAAUUCCUCUUUAAGACCCUUAGAAUUGUAACUGUGGACAGAAGUAGAAGCCCGCAGGAAGUGCUUAUCUUUCAAUGGUCUAUCAUUUGAAAAGUCCCCAUCGGGUGUUUGUCAACAAUUCUCUAUCACAGACUGAGAGGACCAGGACCCAAAGAAAGAAAUUCUAGUACUCAAAAAUCCUGUUAUCUUCUUUUCCUUCUUCUCCUGGAUUGGAACUAUGUAUUACAUGACAGCCAUUCUGAGGCCAGUGAAGUACCUGUGAUGGGCUGGUGGGACCUGGAGCCCAUCAUCACCAUGAGACAAGUGUAGUUGCUCCCUACCAUGUUGUCUCUGUAAUUUGUUGGGCUUUUCACUUUAAAUUUCUAUGAAAGAGGUAGCAAUCAAUGAAGAGAAGCACCCGUAUGUUUCUCUUUCUACUAUAUUUUUUGCCUUCAACUCUCAUCUUGAAUAUUUUGUUAUUGUUGGGCAGAAAGACCUGACAAUGAGGAUACCCUUUGUGCAUCCCUUGCCAUCAACCAUCCCUUGAUCAGGGUCUGCCCAGACCCCAUUUGAGGGGCUAGGCUGGAAAAGCAGUAUGGCUGCUCACACCGCCUACCUGAGCCGAGAGUCAUCAUCUGUAAUCCUCCUUUUGAGAUGAAGGACUAACAGACCUUGUCAUCUGCCCUGCCACCUUCCCACAACAGACAUUUGAUUGUUAUCUUAUGCCCUGCUACGAUAACCUCUAGCCCUUCCCUCCACCGCUCACCUACUCUUCACCCCCUAAUACAUUUCUACCUUGCCUGUCACUCUUAGGACCUCCAGUCCUUUCCACCUUCCAUGUAGUUGAAAUCUUUUAUAUAUGUUGUCUCCCCAAUUACAGUGUGAGCCCUUUCAGAGUAAAGACUUAGAUCUUUCUAAUUCCUCACCCCACUGCUUAGUAUAGUAUUCUGCACAUAACAAGCACUUCAUUUAUUCAUCUCUAAAACUUCAAAUUAGAACUAUUACUGCCUCUCUCAAACACCUCCCUAGAUAUAAGAUUUCUUUUUUGGCUUCUAUCAUUUUGUGUCAGGAAAAGAGUCUCACUGUUUAAUUUGCUUUAAACAAAAUUUAACAUCCCCUUAAACUUAAAAAUGUCGUGGACCUGUUAAAAUGAUUAAAACAAAUUUUGGUUAAAUGGUAGCCUGGAAGCUUGUAGAGGAACUAAACCCCAACCCCUCUCUCACACAAACACAUACCAGCAAAUAAGGACCCCAAAAGAUCAGUGAUGAAGCAAACCAACAAGAAAUUGAAGUAAGCUUUUGAAUGCAAUCCAGAAAUUCAUACAAAGUUGGUCAAAAACUUGUGGGGCCUGGGAGAAGGAAAAUCAGUUUGAGCUCUGGAAAAUAAGUAUGAAAUGUGGGAGAACUGGGAGGAGGAUUAUAUCAGGGAAGUCAACAAAUGGGGUUGAAGAUACUAGACAGUACAAAUGAGAAUGUUUCACAAGGAUCACAAGCUAGUAGAAGCUCCAUCAAUUGAGGCCCGAAGUCAGAUUCCAACCCUCACCUGUUGGAACAGACUGGGAGGGACAAAGCCAAUUCUUAGAGGUCACUGUACAUUUGACAGGAUCCUGGCUAUGCAUUUCUUAGGAACCAAAGCAGGAGACAAGGCCAGCUCAGUGCCUGGGUACCCUCAAUGAGGAAUUUUGGGGAAGCCUAAGACCAGUGCAUCUGACUGAGGCUUGUCAGGGCCACAAUAAAGGAUAGAACCAACUCCCUAUUAUAAUGAGC